GUUUUGAUCAUUGUUGAAUGUCGUACUAUGACCUAUAUAGCCGUUUGUUAACUCUAGUGUAGAGUUUUCUUAUUAGCAAUCAUAUAACAUCUUCAACUUUUUAUAUAGUCUCUAAAUUAGACAGAUAAUGGCAAUGGAGAAUGUGUCAAAGAGAUAACACAACCAAAGAGUAAAAAAAACCAACACAGACGAAGUCCACCUAUUGGUCUUCAACACAUCGAAAAAAUCCCCCGGAGGCGGACUCCAGCUGGCCCCUAAAUAAAAACUUUGUACUAGUUCAGUGAAAAUGGACGCCAUACUUAACUCCUAAACAUAUAAACAAAC
rnacentral:lncRNA from 1 species